rnacentral:rRNA from 1 species
UACGUAGGUCCCGAGCGUUGUCCGGAUUUAUUGGGCGUAAAGCGAGCGCAGGGGUUUAUUAAGUCUGGUGUAAAAGGCAGUGGCUCAACCAUUGUAUGCAUUGGAAACUGGUAGACUUGAGUGCAGGAGAGGAGAGUGGAAUUCCAUGUGUAGCGGUGAAAUGCGUGGAUAUAUGGAGGAACACCGGUGGCGAAAGCGGCUCUCUGGUCUGUAACUGACGCUGAGGUUCGAAAGCGUGGGUAGCAAACAGG